rnacentral:rRNA from 1 species
ACUCUGAUGCAGCGAUGCCGCGUGAGUGAAGAAGGCCUUUGGGUUGUAAAGCUCUUUCGUCGGGGAAGAAAAUGACUGUACCCGAAUAAGAAGGUCCGGCUAACUUCGUGCCAGCAGCCGCGGUAAUACGAAGGGACCUAGCGUAGUUCGGAAUUACUGGGCUUAAAGAGUUCGUAGGUGGUUGAAAAAGUUGGUGGUGAAAUCCCAGAGCUUAACUCUGGAACUGCCAUCAAAACUUUUCAGCUAGAGUAUGAUAGAGGAAAGCAGAAUUUCUAGUGUAGAGGUGAAAUUCGUAGAUAUUAGAAAGAAUACCAAUUGCGAAGGCAGCUUUCUGGAUCAUUACUGACACUGAGGAACGAAAGCAUGGGUAGCGAAGAGGAUUAGAUACCCUCGUAGUCCAUGCCGUAAACGAUGUGUGUUAGACGUUGGAAAUUUAUUUUCAGUGUCGCAGCGAAAGCGAUAAACACACCGCCUGGGGAGUACGACCGCAAGGUUAAAACUCAAAUGAAUUGACGGGGACCCGCACAAGUAGUGGAGCAUGUGGUUUAAUUCGAAGAUACGCGCAGAACCUUACCAACACUUGACAUGUUCGUCGCGACUUUAAGAGAUUAAAGUUUUCGGUUCGGCCGGACGAAACACAGGUGCUGCAUGGCUGUCGUCAGCUCGUGUCGUGAGAUGUUGGGUUAAGUCCCGCAACGAGCGCAACCCUCACUUUUAGUUGCCAUCAUUUAGUUGGGCACUCUGAAAGAACUGCCAGUGAUAAGCUGGAGGAAGGUGGGGAUGACGUCAAGUCCUCAUGGCCCUUACGUGUUGGGCUACACACGUGCUACAA